ensembl:lncRNA
GACUCUGUUUGAAUGGGCCAAUAGGAGGCUCUCUGUUUGAAUGGGCCAAUAGGAGGCUCUCCCAUUUUUUUGUGGUUGUUUUAAUCAUCUGUGGUGGGGCUUUUUGCAUUGUUUUAUUUUAAUUUUAAACUAAUGGUAUUAUUUAUUAAAUUACUGUUUCCCACUUGUGUACUGUGGGUUUUCCAUUAUUUAUUUAUUUAUUUAUUUCUCCAUUUAGGUUUGAAUUGUUUUAAUCUCUUUUUUAAUUCUUUUUUCUUUUUCUUUCAAGGGAUUCUGGGGUGGCAUAGGUAUGCCUUUGCCCGUGUUUGUCCUUAUUGGGAGUUGUGAUUAAUCAAAUAAUGAUUCUUAUGAACAGGCCGACCAGGAGGGAAAAGAACAGUAGAGCGAAUUGCAAACAUGAGGCACGGGCCGAUUAGGGUUGGGGUUAGGGUUAGCGGUUAGGGUUAGGGUUAGGGUUAGGGUUUUAGGGUUAGGGUUAGGGGGUUAGGGUUAGGGUUAAGGGUUAGGGUUAGGCGGUUAGGGUUAGGGUUAGGGGGUUAGGGUUAGGGUUAGGGUUAAGGUUAGGGUUAGGCGGUUAGGGUUAGGGUUAGGGUUAGGGG